ensembl:lncRNA
UUUUCACCUUGCUUAUAGUUUCCUUUGUUGUGCAAAAAUUUUUAAUUUUGAUUAGGCCCCAUUUGUUUAUUUUUCAAAAGCAUCAAUUCUUAUGCACUCAGCUUUCUUUAUGGUCCAACUCUUAUGUGCAUACAUGACUACUGAAAAAAUUAUAGCUUUGACUAGACAGACAAUUGUUGGCAAAGUAAUGUUUCUGCUUUUUAAUAUGCUGUCUAGGUUUGUCAUAGCUUUUCUUCCAAAGAGCAAGUGUCUUUUAAUUUCAUGGCUGCAGUCACCAUCUGCAGUGAUAUUGGAGCCCAAAAAAAUAAAGUCUCUCACUGUUGUCUUCGUAUCUGAGGUUAUUGAUAUUUCUCCUGGCAAUCUUGAUUCCAGCUUAUGCUUCAUCCAGUCCAACAUUCCUCACAAUGUACUCUGCAUAUAAGUUAAAUAAGCAGGGUGACAAUAUACUGCCUUGACAUACUCCUUUCCCGAUUUGAACCAGUCUGUUGUUCCAUGUCCAGUUCUAACUGUUACUUCUUUACCUGCAUAGAUUUCUCAGGAGGAAGGUCAGGUGGUCUGGUAUUCCCAUCUCUUUAAAAAUUUUCCACAGUUUCUUGUGAUCCACACAGUCAAAGGCUUUGGCAUAAUCAAUAAAGUAGAUGUUUUUCUGUAAUUCUCUUGCUUUUUCAAUGAUCCAACAGAUGUUGGCAAUUUGAUCUCCAGUUCUUCUGCCUUUUCUAAAUCCAACUUGAACAUCUGGAAGUUCUUGGUUCACAUGCUGUUGAAGCCUAGCUAGGAGCAUUUUGAGCAUUACUUUGGUAGCAUGUGAGAUGAGUGCACUUGUGUGGUAGUUUGAAAAUUCUUUGGCAUUGCCUUUCUUUAGGAUUGGAAUAAAAACUGACCUUUUCCAGUCCUGUGGUCACUGCUGCAUUUUCCAAAUUUACUGGCAUAUUGAGUGCAGCACUUUCACAGCAUUGUCAUUUACGAUUUGAAAUAGCUCAAUUGGAAUUUCAUCACCUCCAUUAGCUUUGUUUGUAGUGAUGCUUUCUAAGGCCCACUUGACUUCACAUUCCAAAAUGUCUGGCUCUAGGUGAGUGAUCACACCAUCGUGAUUGGGUCAUGAAGAUCUUUUUUGUAUAGUUCUUCUGUGUAUUCUUGCUACCUCUUAAUAUCUUCUGCUUCUCUUAGGUUCAUCCCAUUUCUGUCCUUUAUUGUGCCCAUCUUUGCAUGAAAUGUUCCCUUGGUAUCUGUAAUUUUCUUGAACAGACCUCUAGUCUUUCCCAUUCUACUGUUUUCCUUUAUUUCUUUGCAUUGAUCCCUGAGGAAGGCUUUCUUAUCUCUCCUUGCUAUUCUUUGGAACUCUGCAUUCAAAUGGACACAUCUUUCCUUUUCUCCUUGCCUUUGACAUCUCUUCUUUUCUCAGCUAUUUGUAAGACCUCCUCAGACAACCAUUUUGCCUUUUUGCAUUUCUUUUUCUUGGGUAUGGUCUUGAUCACUGCCUCCUAUACAAUGUCACAAACCUCCAUCCAUAGUUCUUAAGGCAUUCUGUCUAUCAGAUCUAAUCCCUUGAAUCUGUUUGUCAUUUCCACUGUAUAAUCAUAAGGUAUUUGCUUUAGGUCAUACCUGAAUGGUCUAGUGGCUUUCCCUCUUUCUUCAAUUUUAAGUCUGAAUUUGGCAAUAUGGAGUUCAUGAUCUGAGCCAUAGUUAGCUCCUGGUCUUGUUUUUGCUGACUGUAAAGAGCUUCUCCAUUUUUGGCUGCAAAGAGUAUAAUCCACCUGAUUUUGGUAUUGACCAUCUGCUGAUGUCCAUGUAUAGAUUCUUGGGGUUGCACAAAGAGUUGGACACGACUGAGCAAGUAACAGCUUCACUUUCCCCUGGUACGAAAUGGUAGUGUUUGUUCCUUUUUCUUUUUCUUUUUUUGACUGCACCAUGGUGCUUGCUGGAUCUCAGUUCCCUGACCAGGGACUGAACACAGGCCAAGGUAGUAAAAGCCUAGAAUCAUAACCAUUGGGCCACCCGGGAACUCCCAGUAGUAUUUGUUCCUUUUUUUUUUUUUUUUGGCUGCUUCGAGUCUUUGUUGCAGCAUAUGAACUCUCAGUUGCAGCAUGUGAGAUCUAGCUCCCUUACCAAGGAUUGAACCUGGGCCUUCUGCGUUGGGAGCACAGAGUCUUAGCCACUGGACCACCAGGGAGGUUCCAGUAUUUGUUCUUUAUCAUGCCCAGUUUUGGCCUACCGUCAGUCCACUUCUGCCUUCUAAUACUAGAGUUGGAAGAGUUCAUAGAACAUUUUGGGUUUUGGGAGGAUGGCAUUACAACUGAGAAGGGCUAUUGUAAUUCACCAAGUAGAGGAAAUGCAGUCUGUGGGAGGAAGUAACCAUAAAAACUAUCCAGAAUUUCAGGAGGGCCCUUUGGUGGGGCCAGUAGCAAAGUUCACUGUGGAGCAUCUAGCCUUGGAUUUCUAUUACCUUGAUAAUGACCAUUAUCAGGAUCUUGUGUAACCAAGCUAUAGAGCAGGAAAAUAAUCAGUGACAAGAAUAUGAUUGAAAAAGGAUGUGGUUUUUCUGUUUGGGUUUCUUUGCUACUCCCAUCCAUGCCACUAUUUAACUUUAGUGCCUAUUCAAGUAUGUAGGUACAAAAGUGACUUGUGCCAUUGAGGGCAGGCCUCUGGGUGUGUCUCUAAAUUAGACACGGGGUGAUCUUGUUGGCAUCACACUGGGAAACACCGGAGGGAAGAGAAACCCAGCUGUGACUUGCUGCUGCUCCUGUCUUAGAGGAGAGCCUGCUCCUGGUCAGUUACCAUGCCUGCCCUCACAUGUUCACAUCUGCUCCACGGCCCCUAUCAGUCGUUUGUGAGGGGUGGUACUUUUUAUAUUUAAUUUGAUUAUUGUUAUUGUCAUCUUAUGUUUUGGCCAAGCUGGGCACCAUAUGGGAUCUUAGUUUCCCGACCAGUGAUUGAACCUGAGCCUCCUUCAUUGGCAGUGCAGAGACUUAACCACUGGACCACCAGGGAAGUCCUGGAGGUUUAUGUAAUACAAGAGACUGCUGCUGCUGCUGCUGCUGCUGCUGCUAAGUCACUUCAGUCAUGUCCGACUCUGUGCGACCCCAUAGACGGCAGCCCACCAGGCUCCCCCAUCCCUGGGAUUCUCCAGGCAAGAACACUGGAGUGGGUUGCCAUUUCCUUCUCCAAUGCAUGAAAGUGAAAAGUGAAAGUGAAGUUGCUCAGUUGUGUCCGACUCCCAGUGACCCCAUGGACUGCAGCCUACCAGGCUCCUCCAUCCAUGGGAUUUUCCAGGCAAGAGUACUGGAGUGGGGUGCCAUUGCCUUCUCCGAUACAAGAGACUAACAGGCACAAAUCAAACUUAUUUACCCAACUGUGGUCAGAGCUUCCACAGUAUGCAAAGAUGCCUUAUCCAGAAUCAUUGUAAAGAAAAAGUCAAAAUGUAGGGGAAAUGACAGUAACUAUGGUUUCAUUAUCAUAUUUCUGACACAUGUGUUGCAGAAAUCAGUACUCAAGAAACCAGGCACCACACUUGGAGAGUUGGAGAACUCAGGGUUAUUAUUCCCGCGGGCCCACGGGAGUUAACACUCCGAGCUCUGAGCCCCGAACAAAGUGGUUACAGAGAUAUUAUAGACAGACUAUAGUGGGCAACACUAGCUGUUAAUAGGCUGGUUUAAACUAAGGGGUUUUGCACACGGGAAUAGCAGUCAAGAUGGGGAGGGGGGUGCCUCACCUUUACAUGGACAGGCAUGAUUAAGCAGCUGUGCAGGGGCUGGGCAUUUGCAAAGAGCAGGACAAGGAUGAGAGUUAAGCUCCAGUUCCUAGUAUUGUAAGUCCCCACUUUCUGAGACUACGUGACCUACGUGAUCCAGAUUUUGCAAGGAGCAAGCUGAGUUAUAGAGGUGCGAAGGAGCAGGAGGUUAUGUAAAAUUUUAACUUUUUCUCUUCACAUGCACACCUAUAGAGAUGUGUGUGUGUGUUGGAAAUAAUAUAUAUUUAUAUGUAAUAUGUGUAUGUGUGUGUGUAUAUAUGUAUAUAAAUUUUGUCCUAUUUACUUCCCCAAAACACCGUUUAACAAGAAGGGGCUCAAGGCACCUGAGAGGAUUAUAACGAGGAAGGGCGGGACUAAGGACUCUUGCAGAAAAGAGGAACUUCUAAACAGAUUAUACCAAGAGAGGAAAGCAAGAAGUGUAGAUGAAGUAAACAGAUCUCCUCUGGGCUGGAAGUGGCUUUUGAGUCUUCCCAGCCAAGAGAGUUAUCAUUUUCUGACUUUUGGUAACUUCUGUUUUCCCAUUUAGUUCUUCCUUUACUCAUUAAUUCAACAGGCAUUUAGGGUUUCCCCCUGUUGUUAAUUGAACAUUAUUAAUCAGUCUCCACAGCACCUACUAGGUGAAGGGUGAGUAAUGGGCCAUUCUUUCUAACUCAGGGCUCAGGGUUGUCAGGUGUCUGGCACUUCAUUAGAUGUUCUGGAGUUUUUUUGAAAAGGGCCAUAAUGUAGCUCACAGAAAGGAUAGAUGUGUAAAAAUAAACUUACACAUAGUGUUCUUUCACAACUUUCUACUUUUUUUCUGAAAGUGAAAUAACAGUAUAACCAGUUGACCUCCCCCACCCCUGCCGAUUUGCUUGAGGACUGCCUGCUUCCCUCCAGAAAGGUAUGUGGGUGUCAUUUUACCUGAGUUCAGUUCUGAGACAUUUGCAUUGACUGAUGACUUGCUAAAUAUAUUAUUUAGGAUCUGUUUAAGAAUAGCAGAGACCCACUUGAAUUAACUCAGAUAUACUUAAUUUAUUAUGACUCCUGUGUGUAUCCUGGCACCCAAGGGUGAGGUUACAGCAGAGGGGUCUGGAGGCUAGAAACCCAGUCAGAACUUCAUGCAACACUCAGGCUCAGUCUAAGCAGGCUUUGCACCUUCCACCUCUUCUCCCCUCUUUGAAUUCCUGUUUUCUUCAUCUCCAGGCACCGGGCAGAAUUUGCUACAGGUCCCACGUUUACAACUCCAUUCUAGGGACCAACCCAAGCAUAAUCUCCCAGGCUUGAGUCCAUAUUCUUAGGAAAAACAAUCUGAAUUGUCCAGUUUAAGUGCUUACUUCUGGCCUGCUCUCCUCUGAGGGUAGGGUGGUUCACACAAUGCAAUGAGCUUCUGGGGCCCCGCCCUGUGGAAAGGGAGCAAGUACCCAAAAGAUAUCUGUGGCCGACUUCUUUGAUGGCUAUCUGUUUUUUUUUUCUUCUUUUGCUGUGCCACACAACUUGUGGGAUCUUAGUUCCAACCAGGGAUUGAACCCAGGCCUGGGAAAGCAUGGACUCCUAACCACUGGACCACCAGGAAUUCCCUACAAUCUUCCUGUCAUUCCUGUAGUCCAUGUCUCCUUGCAACAAAGAUAACUUUAGGGAAGCUUUGGGCAAUUUAUCUUUGACAAUCUUCCACCAGAUACACUGACUAUCCUCCAUUAACAUUUCCUGGCUCAUAGUGAGCUCAGUCUGUGCAUUCAGAUUCUCCUUUUUGAUGGCUUGUGGCUGACCAGGAUUGGGGUAGAUUUGCUGGUGGGCUUUUGUGAAGUGACUUCCCUUAUGGCUUAGCUGGUAAAGAAUCUGUCCGCAAGGCGGGAGACCUGGGUUUGAUCCCUGGGUUGGGAAGAUCCCCUGGAGAAGGGAAAGGCUACCCACUCCAGUAUUCUGGCCUGGAGAAUUCCAUGGACUGUAUAGUUCAUGGGGUUGCAAAGAGUCAGACAUGACUGAGCGACUUUCACUUAUGUGAAGUGGGGAUAUGCCGCCAAUGAUUUCUUCUGUGCUCUAUGUUCGGGGUAAACAGGUACUUCUGGUCAUGGACUGAGGGAGGCUCUGUGGCUCUUGGAUCUUUUUCUUUGGGAUGUAUGUGUGUAAUUAACUCAGCAGUGGCAAGGCUGACUCUCUAGUUAUAGCUCUCCAUCUUGUUCAUUUCUGUUUAUAGUUCUCCUGCUUUUCCUUCUCUUUUCACAGUCAUUCCAGUGUGGAAGCUGGGUUGCUGAUAAGAACAAAUAGUGGCAUGAUUUCUCCCCUACAGCAGCUUCCACUGCCUUGCCUCUGAAAAGAAUAGGCCUCUGGGAGAGUAUUUCCGGUGAGUAACAUUCGUCUGGUAGAGAUUUACAGGAACAUCUUUACCUGAUCAUGACCUGCCCUCUAGAACAAAGGAUUUGACAUCAAGAAGUCUGCAGCAACUAACCACACCCCUCCCUUAACCUUUCCUAUAAAAGGGCUUUGCUGAGAACUUUUGGGGAGCUUGGGGUUUUUAAGGCAUGGGCCACCCAUCUCCUUGCUUGGCUGUGCAAUAAACCUUUCUCUGUUCCAGACUCUGAGAUUUUGGUAUUGUUUGGCCUUACAAUGCGCUGGGCACAUGGACUUGUGGUUCCCUAACAUUUAUAGGUGAAGGUUCAAAAGCCUAGCCAAGAAAGGGCUUACAGGAGCCUGGCUAGAGUUUGGUCAAGGACAGAAUCUUUAUCAAUGGUUAUGGUCACUGGACACUGAUAGGGCCCACAUGGCACCUCAUUGUUAAGAUGGCUCAUUAUGUUGAGCUCAAAAACAAAGAAUAAAAUCCCAGUGAUCCUUGAGACUAAGCAAAUUGCCCAAACGACAUUCUGUUUUCUCACUGGCGCCUACCUUCUCAAAG